rnacentral:rRNA from 1 species
UGGCUCAGGACGAACGCUGGCGGCGUGCCUAAUACAUGCAAGUCGAACGGUCUUUCUAUGGAAGCUUGCUUCCACUGAGAAGAUAGUGGCGAACGGGUGAGUAACACGUGGGUAACCUGCCCAUAAGAGGGGGAUAACAUCCGGAAACGGGUGCUAAUACCGCAUAGUUUUCUUGAUCGCAUGAUUGAGAAAGGAAAGACGGCCUUUGUGCUGUCGCUUAUGGAUGGACCCGCGGCGUAUUAGUUAGUUGGUGAGGUAACGGCUCACCAAGACGAUGAUACGUAGCCGACCUGAGAGGGUGAUCGGCCACAUUGGGACUGAGACACGGCCCAAACUCCUACGGGAGGCAGCAGUAGGGAAUCUUCCGCAAUGGACGAAAGUCUGACGGAGCAACGCCGCGUGAGUGAAAGAAGGUUUUCGGAUCGUAAAACUCUGUUGUCAGAGAAGAACAAGUUGGAGAGUAACUGCUCCAGCCUUGACGGUAUCUGACCAGAAAGCCACGGCUAACUACGUGCCAGCCGCCGC